GCCUGGCUACCUCAGUCGGUAGAGCAUGAGAUUCAUGCUCAAUGUCGUGGGUUUGAGCCCCAUGUCGGGCA